rnacentral:tRNA from 1 species
UGUUCCCACUGGGAAUUGAACCCAGAAUCUCACCCUCGCUCGCUAGAUAGUACUCUAGUCAUUCAUAUUCAAGUAUAUAAGAGGUAUGCUUUAACCUGAUUAAGCCAUGGGAAC